rnacentral:rRNA from 1 species
GAUCAUGGCUCAGGACGAACGCUGGCGGCGCGCCUAACACAUGCAAGUCGAACGGAGCUAUAUUUGAAAGCUUGCUGGAUAUAUAGCUUAGUGGCGGACGGGUGAGUAACACGUGAGCAACCUGCCUUUUCAGAGUGGAAUAACGUUUGGAAACGAACGCUAAUACCGCAUAAUGUCAGAAGAUGGCAUCGUCUUUUGACCAAAGAUUUAUCGCUGAAAGAUGGGCUCGCGGCCG